GCAGGCUGCAACUCGCCUGCAUGAAGUCGGAAUUGCAAGUAAUCGCAGAUCAGCAUGCUGCGGUGAAUACGUUCCCGGGCCUUGUACACACCGCCCGUCACACCAUGGGAGUCGGUAACACCCGAAGUCGGUAGCCUAACCGUAAGGAGGGCGCCGCCGAAGGUGGGAUUGAUGACUGGGGUGAAGUCGUAACAAGGUAUC
rnacentral:rRNA from 1 species